CAUAAGAGUUUCUAUGUAUAGCCCAUUCACAUAGCCGCGGCCACAUACGGAUACUCUUAUAUAGGUGGUUUCCUCCAGGGAUGUGUGUAGAGUCACAUCUCGCGAAAAUUAUCGCCUUGGAUUCCAUUAAGAGCUCUCAGCUCAACCUAAUCCACUACACAGAGCACUACUCACCAUAGGGAUGGAAUUAGAGCGAAAGCUCCUCUAUAAAAUUUGUAGAAAGUGCUCUUUGGCCAACCUGACAGCUUGUUUUUACCACAUUGAACCUUCUUCAAGGGAUCUCCUAUCACAAAGGUUGGGUUCCCACUGCAGGAAGGCCCUUUAUGGGCAAGAUCCCAUCCCCCUCGAUGACAGUAGGACCAUAGUCCUCUUUAGGCCUUUCAUCAAGUACUCUGCAAAAUUCUGAUCAGAUCUGAUAAAACUCAAAUAAAUAACAUUAUGAAGAAUAACCAUCUAAUAAAUUUAUGUCAAUAUAAUUUAUCUGCCAACUUUAGAAUUUACUAAAUUCUUCUCCAAGAUGAACAUUAAUAGUAAAACAGAUAAAAAUAUGAGAGCAAAUAUAAUAUCAAAAUUUAUCAACAGAUAAAAGAGUUUCCCCUCACAAGUUCUGAGAUAGAUUAAAACUUAAGAUCAUGAUAUUAAUCAUGUGUCCAGUAGCGUUCUGUUCAACAACAAAUAGAUGCCCAAACAAUUUUAAAAGAUAUGUUCGAGCAAAAUAUAUAGAAUCACACUAUUAUUUGACGUUGCAAACAGAGUAUAUU
rnacentral:lncRNA from 1 species